rnacentral:lncRNA from 1 species
GUCACAUGCGACCGAGAUAUCCACUCUGCGAACCCGCUCGCGCGCAGGCACGAGCGCGUCCCGGUGACCCCUUUCUAUGACUCUGUUAAUUCGGUACCUGCCGUCAAGCCCAACGGAGUUGUUAACUUCCUGGACGAGCGUUAUAUUUCGGAAGUGGACGGAGACGCGGACGUCAGCAGGGAGGAAGCGGAGGCGGCCUCGUGGCUGCUUCCCAACCCUAACCAUAAAGCUGUGGAGAGCCCGGACGUGAACACCGGCCAGUACGUGUUCUCGGAGAUGGACCCGUAUCUGGAUCUUGAUUACGGGCAUGUGGA